ACAGUGUUCACCACCCCAGCCAACGUUUCAACUCCAGAGACAACCUUGAAGCCUAGCCUGUCACCUGGAGAUGUUUCAGACCUUUCAACCACUAGCACUAGCCUUGCAACAUCUCCCACUGAACCCUAUACAUCAUCUUCUCCUAUCCCAAGUGUCAUCAAGACAGAAAUCAAAUGUUCAGGCAUCAAAGAAGUGAAAUUGACUCAGGGCAUCUGCCUGGAGCAAAAUGAGACCUCCAGCUGUGCGGAGUUUAAGAAGGACAGGGGAGAGGGCCUGGCCCAAGUGCUGUGUGGGGAGGAGCAGGCUGAUGCUGAUGCUGGGGCCCAGGUAUGCUCCCUGCUCCUUGCCCAGUCUGAGGUGAGGCCUCAGUGUCUACUGCUGGUCUUGGCCAACAGAACAGAAAUUUCCAGCAAACUCCAACUUAUGAAAAAGCACCAAUCUGACCUGAGAAAGCUGGGGAUCCUAGGUUUCACUGAGCAAGAUGUUGCAAGCCACCAGAGCUAUUCCCAAAAGACCCUGAUUGCGCUGGUCACCUCGGGAACCCUGCUGGCUGUCUUGGGCAUCACUGGCUAUUUCCUGAUGAAUCGCCGCAGCUGGAGCCCUGCAGGAGAAAGGCUGGAUGCUGCUUCUCUUCCUAAAGCCCCCAUCGAAGAGGCUUCCAGCCACCAUUCAAUCAUUCAUCAAGUCUUACGAUGUGCCAGACACUGUGUGAAAUGUGCCAGAACAUCUGUUAUGUGCCAGACACUGUUCUUGAGACUGGGGAUAGAGCAAACACUCAUGAAGCUUAUAAUUCUAGCAGAAGAGGACAGUAAACAAUGUCAUCUCAGUAAGUAUAUACAUGUGUUUUCAGGUCAUAUUGAGAGCUAUGAAAAACAUAAGAUAUAUUGAGAAUAAUGGUUGGUAUUUUACAUAUGGUGGU
rnacentral:sRNA from 1 species